UCGAGAAUCUGCCUCCGGGCAAUCUCCCACCCUUUGUUUACAUACCAUGUUGCUUUGGCAGGCCCGCCCUCGGGCCACCGGCUACGGCUGGUCAGCGCCUGCCAGAGGUCAUCAAACUCUUGUUUAUGUGUCGUCUGAGUUAAAAUAUAAUCGUUA
rnacentral:misc_RNA from 1 species